rnacentral:rRNA from 1 species
AUACGGAGGAUCCGAGCGUUAUCCGGAUUUAUUGGGUUUAAAGGGAGCGUAGGUGGACAGUUAAGUCAGUUGUGAAAGUUUGGGGCUCAACCUUAAAAUUGCAGUUGAUACUGGUUUCCUUGAGUACGGUAUAGGUGGGCGGAAUUCGUGGUGUAGCGGUGAAAUGCUUAGAUAUCACGAAGAACUCCGAUCGCGAAGGCAGCUCACCGGGCCGGAACUGACACUGAUGCUCGAAAGUGCGGGUAUCAAACAGGAUUAGAUACCCUGGUAGUCCGCACAGUAAACGAUGAAUACUCGCUGUUUGCGAUACACUGUAAGCGGCCAAGCGAAAGCGUUAAGUAUUCCACCUGGGGAGUACGCCGGCAACGGUGAAACUCAAAUGAAUUGGCGGGG